CAAAGGAUGUGUUCUAUUCUUAAUCUUAGGGCUUGAUUAAUGAUUGAGUAUUAUUCGUUUGUUCUUUAUGAAUUGAUGAAUUGUAUCUAUCUAACUUGUUAAGGGCGGA
rnacentral:tRNA from 1 species